ACUACGGGAGUCAGCAGUGGGGGAUAUUGCACAAUGGGGGAAACCCUGAUGCAGCGACGCCGCGUGAGUGAAGAAGUAUUUCGGUAUGUAAAGCUCUAUCAGCAGGGAAGAAAAUGACAGUACCUGACCAAGAAGCCCCGGCUAACUACGUGCCAGCAGCCGCGGUAAUACGUAGGGGGCAAGUGUUACCCGGAUUUACUGGGUGGAAAGGGAGCGUAGACGGUUAUGUAAGUCUGGAUUGAAAGCCCGGGGCCCAACCCCGGGACUGCUUUGGAAACUGUGUAAAUGGAGUACAGGAGGGGCAGGCGGAAUUCCUGGUGUAGCGGUGAAAUGCGUAGAUAUCAGGAGGAACACCGGCGGCGAAGGCGGCCUGCUGGACUGAAACUGACGUUGAGGCUCGAAAGCGUGGGGAGCAAACAGGAUUAGAUACCCUUGUAGUC
rnacentral:rRNA from 1 species